rnacentral:lncRNA from 1 species
UAUAAAGCAGUUAAUUUUCCCUCAAAGUUGUACUGAUUUAAAGCUUGAUAUUAAUUCUUUACGUUGCUCUUACUUGAGUUGAUACGAGGAUGUACUAGUUAACCUGUCUAUUGUUCAAUCUAAAAUGCCAUUUUAAUUUGCCAAGUUUUGCACGAUGUGUGAAACGUUAACUGUAUAUGGUCUAUUGGCAUGAUUGUGGAAGGGUGAAAUUUCAUGUUGGCAUAGCAAUCAAAUAUAAUACCUCUUUUCAUUGUAUGGAUUUUUUUUUUAAUAUACUCAUCCAUUAUUUUCUUUAUAGUGUACCUG